UACGAAGGGGGCGAGCGUUGUUCGGAAUUACUGGGCGUAAAGGGCGCGCAGGCGGCCUUAGAAGUCAGAUGUGAAAGCCCCGGGCUCAACCUGGGAAUGGCCAUGGAAACUGGCGAACUGGAGUGUGGCAGAGGGGGGUGGAAUUCCGCGUGUAGCAGUGAAAUGCGUAGAGAUGCGGAGGAACACCGAUGGCGAAGGCAGCCCCCUGGGCUAGCACUGACGCUCAGGCACGAAAGCGUGGGGAGCAAACAGG
rnacentral:rRNA from 1 species